rnacentral:sRNA from 1 species
GGAGCCUGGGCGCUGAGGUACCGGGGCCUGGACGAGGGGGCCGCGGUCUGGCUAGGGAGCCGCGCGGGCUCAUGGCGUGAAGAAAAUGAGGCACAAGGAAUUGUUAACCAAGACCUUCCAAGGCCCAGCUGUCGUGUGUGGGACUCCGACCAGCCACGUAUACAUGUUUAAGAAUGGCAGUGGGGACUCGGGGGACUCUUCUGAAGAAGAGUCUCACCGUGUGGUUUUGCGGCCCCGGGGCAAGGAGCGCCAGAAGAGCGGUGUCCACCGGCCUCACCAGGCGGGAGCAGGUGACGUGGUGCUGCUGCAGCGGGAGCUGGCCCAGGAGGACAGUCUCAACAAGCUGGCGCUGCAGUAUGGCUGCAAAGUAAGACACCCCUCAGGGGCCCUGCCCCGCUCCGUUUCGAGGAACACGGGGAACUCACUGCAGGGUGGGUGCCCUUGCCGCCCUUCUUAACCCUGCCAGGCCGUCAGGAGAGGCCUGCUGUAGCAGCCAAGGACUCCCCUAUUUAGCCAGAAUUGGAAUGCAGGUUGCAGAUAUCAAGAAAGUCAACAACUUCAUCAGAGAACAAGACUUAUAUGCUUUGAAAUCUGUUAAGAUUCCAGUGAGAAACCAUGGGAUCCUGACGGAGACCCACAAAGAACUGAAACCCCUUCUGAGCCCGUCUUCCGAGACCACAGUGACCGUGGAACUGCCAGAGGCAGACAGAACAGGCGCGGGCACCGGUGCCCAGGCCGGCCAACUGAUGGGCUUCUUUAAGGGGAUUGACCAGGAUAUUGAGCGUGCAGUGCAGUCAGAAAUCUUUCUACAUGAAGGUUACUGCAUGGACACCUCCCAUCAGCCACUGCUCCCGGCACCUCCGAAGACGCCAAUGGAUGG